rnacentral:rRNA from 1 species
AACGAACGCUGGCGGCAUGCCUAACACAUGCAAGUCGAACGAGACCUUUGGGUCUAGUGGCGCACGGGUGCGUAACGCGUGGGAAUCUGCCCUUGGGUUCGGAAUAACAGUGAGAAAUUGCUGCUAAUACCGGAUGAUGUCUUCGGACCAAAGAUUUAUCGCCCAGGGAUGAGCCCGCGUAGGAUUAGCUAGUUGGUGGGGUAAUGGCCUACCAAGGCGACGAUCCUUAGCUGGUCUGAGAGGAUGAUCAGCCACACUGGGACUGAGACACGGCCCAGACUCCUACGGGAGGGAGCAGUGGGGAAUAUUGGACGAGGGGCGCAAGCCUGAUCCAGCAAUGCCGCGUGAGUGAUGAAGGCCUUAGGGUUGUAAAGCUCUUUUACCAGGGAUGAUAAUGACAGUACCUGGUGAAUAAGCUCCGGCUAACUCCGUG